rnacentral:rRNA from 1 species
GACGAACGCUGGCGGCGUGCUUAACACAUGCAAGUCGAACGGAAAGGCCCUGCUUUUGUGGGGUGCUCGAGUGGCGAACGGGUGAGUAACACGUGGGUAACCUGCCCUUGACUUUGGGAUAACUUCAGGAAACUGGGGCUAAUACCGGAUAGGAGCUCCUGCUGCAUGGUGGGGGUUGGAAAGUUUCGGCGGUUGGGGAUGGACUCGCGGCUUAUCAGCUUGUUGGUGGGGUAGUGGCUUACCAAGGCUUUGACGGGUAGCCGGCCUGAGAGGGUGACCGGCCACAUUGGGACUGAGAUACGGCCCAGACUGCUACGGGAGGCAGCAGUGGGGAAUAUUGCACAAUGGGCGGAAGCCUGAUGCAGCAACGCCGCGUGCGGGAUGACGGCCUUCGGGUUGUAAACCGCUUUCGCCUGUGACGAAGCGUGAGUGACGGUAAUGGGUAAAGAAGCACCGGCUAACUACGUG